UGAUUCUUUAUCGCAAAUAUAGCC
rnacentral:siRNA from 1 species